rnacentral:lncRNA from 1 species
AAACCACUGUCUUGCAAUUUAAUGAUCUGUUUUCUCAACUCUUCCAUCUCAACGCGGCUCAUGCGGUAAGGAGCAACUGAAAUAUGUUGGGUGCCUGGCUUUAGAUCUAUGGUAAACUUGACUUCCCUGUCCACUGGCAGUCCGGGUAGUUCAUCUGGAAACACACAUGGAAAGUCUCGGACUACCGGAAUCUCUUGAAUACAAUUCUCUUUCUUGGGUUUGCCUAAUUAGAGGAAAUAGCAAGGUUAAGGUACUCGAUAAAUAAGAAAACUUGCCAUCAAGGAAUAAGUACUAAAUGAUGUUAUUAAUUUGUAAAUGGCUCCUCAUUAGGAGGAUUGAAUACAACCUUCUUGCUAAAACAAUCUACGGUGGCGUGGUACGCUGC